ACUAUGUCCUUCACUUUUCUUUUUCGUGCCUAUAUCUUGUAAUCUACUGUUUCUCUCUACAGCAAAUCAUUGGAGCGGUCUAUUUCUAGAUCGGUAUCAAGAUCAAGAUCUGCAUCUCCCAUCAAAUCUUCCAGGCCAAAAUCAAGAUCAAGGUCAGGAUCUCCCCGCCAGGCGCGUUCCAGUAGUGGCUGAUUUCCAUGCAAGCGAUGUCAAAACUCGUCCUGACCGACCCAUUUGGUAGAGUUUGAGGGGAAACACUAUUAUUAUUUUAUUUAUUUAUUUUUUGGAUAGUUGGAAAGUGAACGACUUAAUUUGUCUUGAUGCAAUUGGUUAUAUUCCCCGUUUAUUUUUAUUUUAGCUACUAUCUGUGAUCGAGGUGUGUUAAGUAGCUAGCAACUGAGGCUACUACCUUGGAGAUUUGUGACUUUUUUACGCAUUAUGCAUGGCACGUUUGUUUUGAGUUAAAA